rnacentral:rRNA from 1 species
AUUGAACGCUGGCGGCAGGCCUAACACAUGCAAGUCGAACGAGUGGCGGACGGGUGAGUAAUGUCUGGGAAACUGCCCGGUGGAGGGGGAUAAGUACUGGAAACGGUAGCUACUACCGCAUACCAUCGGAUGUGCCCAUAUGGGAUUAGCUAGUAGGUGGGGUAACGGCUCACCUAGGCGACGAUCCCUAGCUGGUCUGAGAGGAUGACCAGCCACACUGGAACUGAGACACGGUCCAGACUCCUACGGGAGGCAGCAGUGGGGAAUAUUGCACAAGGGGCGCAAGCCUGAUGCAGCCAUGCCGCGUGGAUGAAGAAGGCCUUCGGGUUGUAAAGUACUUUCAGCGGGGAGGCGUUACCCGCAGAAGAAGCACCGGCUAACUCCGUGCCAGCAGCCGCGGUAAUAC